AUGGAGCUCCGAGGUCGAGCUUCGAGAGGAGAAAGCUUAACUAGUGUGGCUCGGGCAUUUCAUCGAACACCUCGUGUGCAUAGGAGGUGGGCUAGAGCACCCAAUGCCCUCCCCCUCGCCGGCCAGCAAAAAACAGGGUACUGUGGAGUGCUCUGCUGCGGCGAUAGGGUAUAUAUAGGCAACUUAUUUGUCCCGUUUUGUGGCAGGAACCGGAACUACCCCCCCCCCCCUUCUCUACCGGCUCUAGGCACGAACCGGUACCAAUGGCUGUGGGCCAGGAGUGCGGCCCAUUGGUCCCGGUUCGUGCCUAGAACCGGAACAAAUAGAUCCAGACGAACCGGGACCAAUGCCCACGAGGCCCCGGCCGGCCCCCUGGGCUCACGAACCGGGUCUAAUGCCCCCCAUGGGUCCCGGUUCAUGAAGAACUGGGACUAA
rnacentral:rRNA from 1 species